GGACUACCCGGGUUUCUAAUCCUGUUUGCUCCCCACGCUUUCGUGCAUGAGCGUCAGUGUUGGCCCAGAAGGCUGCCUUCGCCAUUGGUGUUCCUCCACAUCUCUACGCAUUUCACCGCUACACGUGGAAUUCCACCUUCCUCUGCCACACUCCAGCAAAGUAGUUUCGAGCGCAAUUCCCAAGUUAAGCCCGGGGCUUUCACACUCGACUUGCUUUGCCGCCUGCGCACACUUUACGCCCAGUAAUUCCGAUUAACGCUCGCACCCUACGUAUUACCGCGGCGGCUGGCAC
rnacentral:rRNA from 2 species